AACUUUCAACAACGGAUCUCUUGGCUCUCGCAUCGAUGAAGAACGCAGCGAAAUGCGAUAAGUAAUGUGAAUUGCAGAAUUCAGUGAAUCAUCGAAUCUUUGAACGCACCUUGCGCCCCUUGGUAUUCCGAGGGGCACACCUGUUUGAGUGUCGUGAA
rnacentral:rRNA from 1 species